rnacentral:rRNA from 1 species
CUACGGGUCGCACCAGUGAGGAAUAUUGCACAAUGGGGGGAACCCUGAUGCAGCAACGCCGCGUGGAGGAUGACGCAUUUCGGUGUGUAAACUCCUUUUAUAUGUCAAGAAAAUGACGGUAGCAUAUGAAUAAGCACCGGCUAACUCCGUGCCAGCAGCCGCGGUAAUACGGAGGGUGCAAGCGUUACUCGGAAUCACUGGGCGUAAAGGACGCGUAGGCGGGUUGGAAAGUCAGGUGUGAAAUCCUACAGCUUAACUGUAGAACUGCACUUGAAACUUCUAAUCUAGAGUAUGGGAGGGGGAGAUGGAAUUAGUGGUGUAGGGGUAAUAUCCGUAGAUAUCACUAGGAAUACCUAAAGCGAAGGCGAUCUCCUGGAACGUUACUGACGCUAAGGCGUGAAAGCGUGGGGAGCAAACAGGAUUAGAUACCCGGGUAGUC